GACGAACGCUGGCGGCGUGCUUAACACAUGCAAGUCGAACGGAAAGGUCCUGCUUUUGUGGGGUGCUCGAGUGGCGAACGGGUGAGUAACACGUGAGUAACCUGCCCUUGACUUUGGGAUAACUUCAGGAAACUGGGGCUAAUACCGGAUAGGAGCUCCUGCUGCAUGGUGGGGGGUGGAAAGGUUCGGCGGUUGGGGAUGGGCUCGCGGCUUAUCAGCUUGUUGGUGGGGUAGUGGCUUACCAAGGCUUUGACGGGUAGCCGGCCUGAGAGGGUGACCGGCCACAUUGGGACUGAGAUACGGCCCAGACUCCUACGGGAGGCAGCAGUGGGGAAUAUUGCACAAUGGGCGGAAGCCUGAUGCAGCAACGCCGCGUGCGGGAUGACGGCCUUCGGGUUGUAAACCGCUUUCGCCUGUGACGAAGCGUGAGUGACGGUACUGGGUAAAAAAGCACCGGCUAACUACGUG
rnacentral:rRNA from 1 species